rnacentral:rRNA from 1 species
AUUAAUUCGAUGCAACGCGAAGAACCUUACCUGGGUUUGACAUAUGCCGGAAAGCUGCAGAGAUGUAGCCCCCGCAAGGUCGGUAUACAGGUGGUGCAUGGCUGUCGUCAGCUCGUGUCGUGAGAUGUUGGGUUAAGUCCCGCAACGAGCGCAACCCUCGUCCUAUGUUGCCAGCGGGUCAUGCCGGGGACUCAUAGGAGACUGCCGGGGUCAACUCGGAGGAAGGUGGGGAUGACGUCAAGUCAUCAUGCCCCUUAAGUCCAGGGCUUCACGCAUGCUACAAUGGCUGGUACAAAGGGCUGCGAUACCGCAAGGUGGAGCGAAUCCCAAAAAGCCAGUCUCAGUUCGGAUUGGGGUCUGCAACUCGACCCCAUGAAGUCGGAGUCGCUAGUAAUCGCAGAUCAGCAACGCUG